UAAUAGAACGAGUCGGCUAGCUAUUUUUUAUGUGUAAAAUUUUCUGAAUUGAGAGAGUUCGGGAACUGGGUGAACUAAUGCACUGUGAUAGUGAGUAGCCUAUUACAAGUGAUAAACACAAGAAAAGAAAGGAAAAUAAAAUGGUCAAACUCAAUUCGUUAAAUAUAAAACAAAAGAGAAGCAGAUAAGUGAUAAGUCCGUGGAAACAACACUGCUCAUUCGCGUCUGUCAGCUGCCGUGCUGCUCCUCUACUGCAGCCGUUCACUGAACAGGGACGCAGAGAGAGGUGUGACGGCAGGGAGAAAGCAAACCUCGCGCUCGCAGGAUUGUGCUGGCAACAUUUGGUUACUGAGGUAGCCUAAAUGUGAGACGUUGGCAGUCCACAUCUGCUGCGUCUUCUGAACAAAACAAGUGAGUUUGCUGACGUAUGACGACGCUUUGCAGGAGACCGCGGCGCGAUGAUUCGUCAAAGUUGCAGAAAAGUUGCGGUGAUUUUUCAAAAUUGCAAGG